AGUGAACGCUGGCGGUAUGCCUAAUACAUGCCAGUCGAACGGCAACACAAUAAGCUCUUUCUCUUACGGUUGGCGACUGACGGACGGGUGAGACAUACAUCAGAAUCUACUAUUUCGUGGAUGAUAACGUAGAGACACUUACGCUACUACCUCAUACGACCUACGGCUUAGAUCAGUGGAGCUUCACGCCUUUCCUGUUUCAAUUAGCCGAUGUCGGAUUAGCUAGUUGGCUGGGUAAGGUCCCACCAAGGCGACGAUCCGUAGCUGAUCUGAGAGGAUGAUCAGCCACACUGGAACUGAGACACGGUCCAGACUCCUACGGGAGGCAGCAGUGGGGAAUAUUGGACAAUGGGCGAAAGCCUGAUGGAGCAAUACCGCGUGGGUGAAGAAGGUCUUCGGGUUGUAAAGCUCUUUUGUUGGGAAAGAACAGCAGCAGGUGAAUCCCUCGAUGUUCUGACGGUACCCAAAGAAUAAGCCCCGGCUAACUUCGUG
rnacentral:rRNA from 1 species